GUGGGUGUAGCUCAGUUGGUUAGAGCGCCAGGUUGUGGCCCUGGAGGCCGCGGGUUCAACUCCCGUCACUCACCCCA
rnacentral:tRNA from 1 species